GAAUUCAAGACUCCUAAAUUGUUGAAAUGGGCUCAACAUUUUUCUGCAGAUGCUGCUGUUAAAGAUAUAUUGCCUGAUACGGAUGAGCUCUGCGAGUGCUACAGAUCUCAUGUUUCUAUAAUCAAAGGCUGGGGCUAGGUUCUGCAGCCAAAAAUGAUCCUAUAGUUCAAGAAUCACAACUAUUUUAGUUGUCUUUUCUUGAUUUGGAAUUACUUGUGUUUUUCGAAUUCAAUAAUAUAUUUAUUAUUAUUAUUAUUAUUAUU
rnacentral:lncRNA from 1 species